AUUGCACGCUGGCGGCACGCCUAACACAUGCAAGUCGAGCGAGUGGCGGACGGGUGAGUACUGUCUGGGCAACUGCCCGAUAGCGAGGGAUAACUACUGGACACGGUGGCUAAUACCGCGUACUAUCGGAGGAACCCAUAUGGGAGUAGCUAGGAGGUGGGGGAAAGGCUCACCUAGGCGACGUUCCCGAGCUGGUCUGAGCGGGUGAGCAGCCACACUGGGACUGAGACACGGUCCAGACUCCUACGGGAGGCAGCGGUGGUGAAGAUUGCACAAGGGGAGGAAGCCUGAUGCAGCCAUGCCGAGUGUAUGAAGAAGGCGGUAGGGUUGUAAAGUCAUUUCAGCGGGGGGGCGUUACCCGCAGAAGAAGCACCGGAUAACUCCGGGCCAGCAGCCGCGGUAAUUC
rnacentral:rRNA from 1 species